UACAGGGGGGCAAGCGUUGUUCGGAAUUACUGGGCGUAAAGGGUUCGUAGGUGGCCAACUAAGUCAGACGUGAAAUCCCUCAGCUUAACUGGGGACUGCGUCUGAUACUGGAUGGCUUGAGUGUAGGAGAGGAAUGCGGAAUUCCAGGUGUAGCGGUGAAAUGCGUAGAUAUCUGGAGGAACACCGGUGGCGAAGGCGGCAUUCUGGACUACAACUGACACUGAGGAACGAAAGCCAGGGGAGCAAACGGG
rnacentral:rRNA from 1 species